CCGAAUUUUAUUCGGAGGGUACCUUAGUGGCGAACGGGUGAGUAACGCGUGAGCAACCUGUCCAUCUGAGGGGGAUAACAACGAGAAAUCGUUGCUAAUACCGCAUGAGACCACAUCACCGCAUGGUGGAGGGGUCAAAGGAGCAAUCCGCAGACGGAGGGGCUCGCGUCCCAUUAGAUAGUUGGUAGGGUAACGGCCUACCAAGUCAGCGAUGGGUAGCCGAGCUGAGAGGCUGAACGGCCACACUGGAACUGAGACACGGUCCAGACUCCUACGGGAGGCAGCAGUGGGGAAUAUUGGGCAAUGGGCGCAAGCCUGACCCAGCAACGCCGCGUGAGGGAAGACGGUUUUCGGAUUGUAAACCUCUGUCCUAGGGGACGAAAAAAAUGACGGUACCCUGGGAGGAAGCCCCGGCUAACUACGUGCCAGCAGCCGCGGUAAUACGUAGGGGGCGAGCGUUGUCCGGAAUUACUGGGCGUAAAGGGUGCGUAGGCGGUUUAUUAAGUUGGAUGUGAAAUACCCUUGCUCAACGAGGGGGUUGCAGUAGAAACUGUUAAGCUAGAGUACAGGAGAGGUAAGCGGAAUUCCUAGUGUAGCGGUGAAAUGCAUAGAUAUUAGGAGGAACACCAGUGGCGAAGGCGGCUUACUGGACUGAUACAGACGCUGAGGUACGAAAGCGUGGGGAGCGAACAGGAUUAGAUACCCUGGUAGUCCACGCUGUAAACGAUGGAUACUAGGUGUAGGGUGAAAGCUCUGUGCCGAAGUUAACGCAAUAAGUAUCCCGCCUGGGGAGUACGGCCGCAAGGCUG
rnacentral:rRNA from 1 species